UCUGAGGUCUUCAUUAUUUGUCAUUUCUGGAUUGACUGUUUCAUAUUUCACUGAAGUUACUUUUCCUUAUAGCUUGCUUUGAUCACUUUUGGUACCAGAGCUAAGAACCAUAUUACUACCUACACAUUUCAUAUUAUAGAUAAUCCUGCCACAAAUCUUCUCUUGAUCCUUGCAGUUAUCUGCUGCUAGCUCUGUGGAAGUAAUUUUACUUUCCAGAAUUUCAAGGUUAUAUACAGCAACCCAGCAGUUUAAGGAGCUCACUGAUUGCUGCUAGAGCAACUGGCCAAAUUAGGAGGAUAACAUCACCAGUCCAAUCCAUAUUGCCAUUCCAAAUCAAAAUCAGCAAUCAUUUCCAGCAUGAUUGUGAUUUUCUAAAAAUGCUAGAAAUGUAAGUAAAGGAAGAAGAAUUUGACUCUUUAGCCUUGAAUGAAGAUGUCAAAAUACAAGACGUAUCAGAAAGCCACGUGAAGAAAGCAAGGAGAACACUGUAAUAUCAUGAUAGCAACAUUCAGAAUUUUGCUGUCAGCAAAAUUUUCUUGUGUGUUAAAAGGCCUUGAGAUCAGAGCAAAGGAAAGAAACAGCUUAACUACCUCAGUAACUAGCACAGAAUCUGUCUGAAUUGAAAUCUCAAGCCUCAGAAGAACAAGUAAAGCAGAGUCUGCAUUAUCAAUUGUCUGCCUGAGAUGGGUUCAUUGACUGUGAUAUGCUGAGAGAAAUCAAAAGUACCAAGAGAAUUAACUGUACUGCAAUUGCUCCCAUGCAGACUGGUCAGAUGGUACACUGGAAUGUGAAUCAGAGAUUAAAUUUUCAGGUGUUUUCACAAAGUGUCCAGAUAACAGGACAGAAGAGCACCACAGCCUUGGACUUGCUUCAGAGCAAUCUGCAGGACUUGGCUCAAAGGCAAGAUAUUCUGAUUCUAUGAUUCUAAAGAUUUAAUACCAGUCUGUUAAAAAAAAAAAAAUAGAAGCAGUUGCCUGCUGCUAUAGGGAAUUCAAACCACAUGGGCAAAGGACCACUCCAGAAAUGCCACAGUUGGCUCAUCCCUUGAGAAGCAAAAGAAAUAACUUCAGGAAGGUGUUUGCCUAUUUGCCAUUCUCUUCCACUCUCUUCUACCUCCCUUUGCUUGGAUUCUCCUUCCACAUUCAGGAUUAUGUUACAAGAAUAUGAGUUUUGUGAAUAGUUAAUGUUAUAGGAAGAAAGAAGGGGGCAACCAGACAGGAAUGUUAAUAGCAGUGUCUUUCCUGAAGCCAUCAGGUAGAUGAAGUUGACUGUGAACUUCUGUGAGAAUUUUCAAACACCACCUCAACCAUUCAAGGCUUAAAGGAGCAAGGGAGAGGCUCAUAACUCAAGAGUGGGUUCAUUGGAAUUCAUUGUCUCCUCCUGCCCUUCAGAGGAAGAAUUUCAUUCCUUGGAAGGAUGCUUAGAGGUCAAAUAUUUGUGUUGUUCCCACCUCAGUCCAAAGACCACACAACAGGAGAUAAGGGCAGCACCAGUAGUGAGAUAUAGUUAACUCAUGAACUGAUACUGAUACUUCAAACCUAGAAAUUGCUUUUAUUCAUUUUUUUGUUAGUAUGCUCACUCAAAGCAUUGCAUUAUUAUUGCCAUCGCUACUGCUGCUGAGUUUCUCUGGCUAAGUCCUUGAGAAUUAUGAUUUUUCAACAUAUUUACACAUUAGUUACAGAUGUAGUUGUAAAUAAUAGAAUGUAGAAGGACAAGAGGAUGUGGCCAGCUCUUGCAGUGGUGCCCAAUGGCAGAAUAAGGGACAAUGGACACAAAGAGAAAGGCAGGAAGCUCUAUCUGAAUACAAGGAGAAACCACUUGGACAGAGCACUGGAGCAGACAGCACAGAGAGGAUGUGGAGUCUCCUUCUCGAGAUAUUCAAAACCCACCUGGACAUAACCCAGUGCAACCUGCUCCAGCUGAACCUGCUUUAGCAGAGGGGCUCGACAAGAUGAUCUCCAGAGGUCCUUUCUGACUCCAAGCAUCUUGUGAUUCUCUGACAAACAGCAGAUGUUUCAGGUUUCUCCAUGAAUGCCUUCUCUGGACACUAUGGAGACAAAUGCUCUUGGGCAGAUGAAGCAGCUGCCUGAAGGCAGAAGGCAAUUUCAGCCCUUUAAAUAGUGCAAUGGCAAUAUCAGAGGUUUCUGUUCUCUCUAUCCCACAGUCUGUUCUUCCUUCUGCAACAGCUUUUAGAUUUUAGAUCUAGACCUGACUAUUGUCUGAUCUUUGACAGCUUGCCAGGCAGGGUGCUUUGCCAUAUAUUUUUAUAUUCUUUAUGCUACAGUUUACUUAUUCUGUGUAGAGUGGAUUAUUUCCCUUUUUUCCACGAAUGUCCAUUGUCUGUAUGGCACUGACAAAGCCAGACAAUGGAUGCUCUUUUAACAGCAAAGUAAGAUUCAGGAUACCUCAACACAAUGAUUAAAAAGCCUGUCUGAAUUAUGCAAAUCUGUUUAAUUACAGCUUUUUUUUCGUGAAGUCUUUAUGCCAGAAAGAUAGUCUCAGCAACCUCAAAAUUGAAUAAUUUGCAAACAUUUGAGGAUAUGCUAAGAUAAAAGGGUUUGUCUGUUUCAGGAUCUUUUCUGAUUGAUAAUUUCUGUCAAAAGGAUUUUGACAUUAUAAUUGAAUGGUUGCAAACCUGAAAGUAAAAGUGACAUUAUAUUCCCUUUGAACAUGAAAUGAAAGGAAGUGUACCUUAUUCUCACUGGGUAUCUUUUUUAAUCAAUGUUAUUCUUACUCCAAAUUUUUGUGGACAAAAUACACAGUUGCUAAAUUGGUACUACAGCCUGAUAGCUGCUCAGGGCUGGGGAACUGACAGGGAGAAGGAACUGAGACCAUCUCCCUGAGGAAAGCUCUUGUGUUAUAUUGCCAUAUAUGUAUUUUGAAGACACUGAAGUUUCUCUGGAGACAUGUAGGAAAAAAAAUUCCAGUUCUCUUAAAUUAAGUAACUAGAUUAAUCCCAUUGGAUCAUAUAAAUCAAGUGAUCAGAGGAAGAGAUUGUGUGUACAUGAACAAUAUAAUUUUUUGCUAGAUAUAACACCGUAUCAUCAAAAGUCCAGAAGACAACUUCACCCAGACAAUAAGAUUCUUACAAAUAUUCUGAAGUUCUUCAGAGCCAAACUGUCAACUCAUCCUCCAGCACCAUCUCCCCUUCUUACAUGUCUUAGCAAAAGGGAACUGCACAUUCCACUGCUCUAGAGCAUCACAAUAAAAAAGAGUUUGUGGACUAGAGGUACUUCAUUGGAUGAAAAUGUUGACACAAUGGAAAGUUUAUGCUAUUCAUGUGUUCAUGUACAUCACCAGCUAAUUUUCCACAUGCAUCAGGAGAAUUCUGAGAUAGCUGACUAGCAAAAAUUAACUGAAACAUCAGAAAAAGUUUUGGGCAUAAAAAAUAUAAAAAUGCAACCUUAAUGUGUGACAGGAGAACUAAUAUAUCUUGCCAUGGACCAUGACUUCAUCUUGCAGGAUAUUUCAUAAAGACAAAACUAAAAAAUGCCUUAUUAGGUUCUUAGGUUUUUAAUUUUUAGGCAUAAAUGAAUGAGAAAACAAAUCACUGGAAGACUACAAGGGAACCCUGAGAUAAUAUGCAUCAGCCUGAAUAGUCCUGACAGGUAAAUCAUCCUUAUUGAUAUGUAACCUCUCCAAUGGGUUCAGUUUUAAAUUAAAAUUUCUAGUAAACCAGAAUUCGUUGUCCAAGUAAAUUUUCAGAUAAUCCAUGGUCAAACAUACACUGAAACUUCAAAUAAAAUAAAUGCUUAAAAUAUCAAUGCUGGAGUGAUUUAAAAAGCAUUUUAAGACAGUGUUUGCUUGUUCUAUGUUUGUUUAACAAUCCUGAAAAAAUCCCCAACUAUCUUUAUUUUAACUACUGAUUGUCCUUUUCUUCUAAAUUAACUUCAAAUCCUUUGCUCAUAUUGAAUCAAAGUGACUUCAAACAGAAGUCCAUUUAUUAAAUAUUUUA